CACGGGUGAGUAACACGUGGAUAACCUGCCUCAAAGUGGGGGAUAACACCGGGAAACCGGUGCUAAUACCGCAUAUUCUGACGAGAUCUGAGGAUUUUGUCAGGAAAGGAGCAAUUCGCUAUGAGAGGGGUCCGCGGCUGAUUAGCUAGUUGGUGGGGUAAUGGCUCACCAAGGCAACGAUCAGUAGCCGGUCUGAGAGGACGGUCGGCCACACUGGAACUGAUACACGGUCCAGACUCCUACGGGAGGCAGCAGUGGGGAAUUUUUGGCAAUGGGCGAAAGCCUGACCAAGCAACGUUUUUUUUAUGAUGAAGUAUCUCGGUACGUAAAAUUCUUUCGACGGGGACGAAACCGCAAGGUUGACGGUACCCGUAGAAGAAGCCCCGGCUAACUCCGUGCCAGCAGCCGCGGUA
rnacentral:rRNA from 1 species